GGUUUUAUAGUUUAAUUUAAAAUUCUGGUCUUGUAAAUCAGAGAUGAUGUAAUCUAAUACC
rnacentral:tRNA from 1 species